rnacentral:rRNA from 1 species
UGGGGAAUAUUGCACAAUGGGCGCAAGCCUGAUGCAGCCAUGCCGCGUGUAUGAAGAAGGCCUUCGGGUUGUAAAGUACUUUCAGCGGGGAGGAAGGCGAUGCGGUUAAUAACCGCGUCGAUUGACGUUACCCGCAGAAGAAGCACCGGCUAACUCCGUGCCAGAAGCCGCGGUAAUACGGAGGGUGCAAGCGUUAAUCGGAAUUACUGGGCGUAAAGCGCACGCAGGCGGUCUGUCAAGUCGGAUGUGAAAUCCCCGGGCUCAACCUGGGAACUGCAUCCGAAACUGGCAGGCUUGAGUCUCGUAGAGGGGGGUAGAAUUCCAGGUGUAGCGGUGAAAUGCGUAGAGAUCUGGAGGAAUACCGGUGGCGAAGGCGGCCCCCUGGACGAAGACUGACGCUCAGGUGCGAAAGCGUGGGGAGCAAACA